GUGCCAGCCGCCGCGGUAAUACGUAGGGUGCAAGCGUUAAUCGGAAUUACUGGGCGUAAAGCGUGCGCAGGCGGUUUUGUAAGACAGUGGUGAAUCCCCGGGCUCAACCUGGGAACUGCCAUUGUGACUGCAAGGCUAGAGUGCGGCAGAGGGGGAUGGAAUUCCGCGUGUAGCAGUGAAAUGCGUAGAUAUGCGGAGGAACACCGAUGGCGAAGGCAAUCCCCUGGGCCUGCACUGACGCUCAUGCACGAAAGCGUGGGGAGCAA
rnacentral:rRNA from 1 species